rnacentral:rRNA from 1 species
GUGGGGAAUUUUGGACAAUGGGCGAAAGCCUGAUCCAGCCAUGCCGCGUGCAGGAUGAAGGCCUUCGGGUUGUAAACUGCUUUUGUACGGAACGAAAAGACUCUGGUUAAUACCUGGGGUCCAUGACGGUACCGUAAGAAUAAGCACCGGCUAACUACGUGCCAGCAGCCGCGGUAAUACGUAGGGUGCAAGCGUUAAUCGGAAUUACUGGGCGUAAAGCGUGCGCAGGCGGUUAUAUAAGACAGAUGUGGAAUCCCCGGGCUCAACCUGGGAACUGCAUGUGUGACUGUAUAGCUAGAGUACGGCAGAGGGGGAUGGAAUUCCGCGUGUAGCAGUGAAAUGCGUAGAUAUGCGGAGGAACACCGAUGGCGAAGGCAAUCCCCUGGGCCUGUACUGACGCUCAUGCACGAAAGCGUGGGGAGCAAACAGGAUUAGAAACCCUGGUAGUCC